rnacentral:rRNA from 1 species
UACGAGGGGGGCGAGCGUUGUUCGGAAUUAUUGGGCGUAAAGGGUGCGUAGGCGGUUUGGUAAGUCUUGUGUGAAAUCUUCGGGCUCAACUCGAAGUCUGCACGAGAAACUGCCGGGCUUGAGUAUGGGAGAGGUGAGUGGAAUUCCCGGUGUAGCGGUGAAAUUCGUAGAUAUCGGGAGGAACACCGGUGGCGAAGGCGGCGACCUGGGUCGAUACUGACGCUGAUGCGCGAAAGCGUGGGGAGCAAACAGG